rnacentral:rRNA from 1 species
GACGAACCGUGCGAACGUUGUUCGGAAUCACUGGGCUUAAAGGGCGCGUAGGCGGGCAUUCAAGUCGGUGGUGAAAUCCUCCAGCUUAACUGGAGAAGAGCUGUCGAUACUGGAUGUCUCGAGGGGUGCAGGGGUCUGCGGAACUUCGGGUGGAGCGGUGAAAUGCGUAGAGAUCCGAAGGAACGCCGGUGGCGAAAGCGGCGGACUGGACACCUUCUGACGCUGAGGCGCGAAAGCCAGGGGAGCAAACGGG